ensembl:snRNA U6 U6 spliceosomal RNA
GUGCCGGCUUGGGCAGUACCUAUACUAAAAUGGGAAUGAUACACAGAAGAUUGGCAAAGCCCCCAUGCAAGGGAGACAUGUAAAUUCAUGAAACAUUCCAUAUUUUU